CAAAAACAUCGCCUCCCGCAAGCCUCUAGGUAUGGGAGGUCUUACCUGCCCAGUGACGACGAGUUAAACGGCCGCGGUAUCUUGACCGUGCUAAGGUAGCGCAAUCACUUGUUUUUUAAAUGAAGACCUGUAUGAAUGGUUAAACGAGGGCUUAACUGUCUCCCUUAUCUGGUCAAUGAAAUUGAUCUCCCCGUGCAGAAGCGGGGAUUAUAGUACAAGACGAGAAGACCCUAUGGAGCUUAAGACAAAAGACCAACUGUACUUAAACCUCCUCCAUAAGAGGAAGGAAACAAAACAGCAACUGGCCCAAGUCUUCGGUUGGGGCGACCGUGGGGGAAAAUAAAGCCCCCAUGUAGAGUGGAAUUUUUCUAAAACCAAGAGGUACCUCUCUAGGUCACAGAACAUCUGACUUAGACGAUCCGGCAAUUAGCCGAUCAACGGACCAAGUUACCCCAGGGAUAACAGCGCAAUCCCCUCCAAGAGCCCAUAUCGACAAGGGGGUUUACGACCUCGAUGUUGGAUCAGGACAUCCUAAUGGUGUAGCCGCUAUUAAGGGUUCGUUUGUUCAACGAUUAAAGUCCUACGUGAUCUGAG
rnacentral:rRNA from 1 species